GGAGGGCAAGUCUGGUGCCAGCAGCCGCGGUAAUUCCAGCUAGCGUAUACUAAAGCUGCUGCGGUUAAAAAGCUCGUAGUUGGAUCUCAGUUCCAGACGAGUAGUGCAUCUACCCGAUGCGACGGCUCGGACUGAACAUCAUGCCGGUUCUUUCUUGGUGCACUUCAUUGUGUGCCUCGAGAUGGCCGGUGCUUUUACUUUGAAAAAAUUACAGUGCUCAACGCAGGCCACUCCCCUGAAUAAACUUGCAUGGAAUAAUAAAACAAGACCUCGUUUCUGUUCUGUUGGUUUUUGGAGUACCAGGUAAUGAUUAA
rnacentral:rRNA from 1 species